GCUCCCGUAGCUCAACGGAUAGAGCGCCUGUCUUCGGAACAGGAGGUUGCGUGUUCAAAUCACGCCGGGAGCG
rnacentral:tRNA from 1 species